ACAUUUGAUGAUCAUUUCAUUGUUUUUCGAAAUGUCAUAAACGCCGCUUCAUUCAUACCGAGAACACGUUUGGCGUUGUAAAUACCAAGUCAACAAAUCAAUAUUACAUUUUAUUACGAUAUAAACUACAGCAGUGUAAAUUCCAAUUCAACGCUUCAAUUGCUCUACGGUUUUGCUGAUAAUUCAUAUUAUUUUCGAUACACGUGCGUUUUGUAUCGAUUUGAUCCGAAUUUUUCAAUACUUGAUCAAUCGAAUCUGGAGUUCAGACAGAUUGUUGAAUUCAAGUCACCAGUUGCAUAAUUCUGUUGCGUGAGGUGAUGAAAUUAAUUUCAAGCGGUGAUACCAAUUUUGAAUUGGUUCCAUUGUUCAGAGAAGAGAAACAGUUAAUAGCUUAUUGUUUGAGCUCAAAUUGAAUCCGACCCUCUAUUACAGUCGGCUUUCAAGGCGAUCGGAUUUUGCGAGCGCCAUCUCUGAGUCCCAAUGCAAACCAAAGGGAAACUUUACACACUUGGGUAUUCGUUUAUAGUAUAUUUGUCAAACAUUGAUAUCUGUCAAAAGAAACAACGUAAACAACACGAAGUGAAUAUUUUUCUGGUGAACUAUCGGUAUUAUUGUGAUUAUUGCAAAUAAAAAAUUAAGCACAAACAAAUGCUCGACGAUCCAAACUUUCGGCCAUUCAUCCGGAAUUUAGUUGUGGUGCCGAUGUGUGAUUUUCGCCGAAAGCACUUCAAAAUUGACUGUUCGAGUAUGCACCGGGUGUUGUCUUCGCAAAAAUUGCUACCGAAAGUGGAAGUUGAGAAUAAAAAUGGUAAAACCAGCAUAAUAAAUAUUCCACAAAAGGAUUUUAACGAUGCGAGUGAUCAUUGGUGGAAUCAGUAUUUCUACAUGCGGAAAAUUUGGCGAUUCGUGCGCGGAAAAAAUAAGUUUGACUUUUCCAUAAACACCGAUGGAAUCGCUGUGUCUCUGCAGUACUCGGCCAAGAAGAAGACAAAUAACGAAGAAAUCGACCGUUCUCGUCGCAUCGUUCAAAUGAUUAUGGAUGGCAAAUUCAAAAAUUGACACAGGCGUUGGAAUACCACAGUAACACACAACAUUAAAAGUGGAAAAGAAACCAACUUUGUAAUGUCGAGCAAGCAGUUCCACUGGCAGACUGGUCAAAAUGUGCGAAAUGCCAAAGCAAAGCGUUGGACCAAAAAAUUCGUCCAAGAGGAGCGCCGAGACAGAGAAAACCGUGGAAUUUACCCAGUGAUGCCAUCGCCAAAAGGGUCACAGUGGCUGAACUAUGUAAAGCACCGAGUCAAGAUGAUGAAGCAUGGAAUCUGCGCUUACUCGACUGCCAAGUACACUCGACUCGCCUUGGAAAAACACAUCAAAAGCAGUAGUAUCGAUAAGCCACCGACUUUGUUUUUUUUUGUGCUGAUGGCGAAAUACCACUUGACAGCCCAAUAAGUAUCAAAAAGCACGUGCGCUGUCCAGGAGUUCGUAAGACUUUGAGGUCAAUAAAGAAGCGCCGAAAUUGUGUCAUAGAUCUGGUGGACGAAUGGGGAACAUCUCAAACAGACGCAAGAUGUAUGUGCCGAUUCCAAAACUAGAACAAAGCGGCCAGAUUCAAGAGAUGCCGGUGCAUACCCGACGCCAGAACAUUGCUGCCAACAAAAAUUGUGUCAAAGUUGGGCAAGACGGAUUUAUCGGUAUUCCGACAGUUGCAACGCGCCAUGAAC